GUCCUGGCUCAGGACGAACGCUGGCGGCGUGCUUCAUACAUGCAAGUCGAACGCGAAUCGGUAGCUUGCUACCGAGGAAAGUGGCGGACGGGUGAGUAAUAUGUAGAGAAUCUGCCCUAGAGAGGGGGACAACAGCUGGAAACGGUUGCUAAUACCCCAUAUGAGCGUACCUGAAAUGGUAUUCUUGAAAACUCCGGUGCUCUAGGAUGAGUCUGCAUCUGAUUAGCUAGUUGGGGGUG
rnacentral:rRNA from 1 species